CACAAAAAGGGCACCUUGUAUACACAAACAAUCUCAGUAUUCACGUGAAAUUCAUUCUUUCUUGAAAAGAUUUUGUUUUUAAGUCUAAUUAUUAUACAUCGUUGACUUUGGAUUGCCUUUAGAUCACUGCAAAAAAGUACCACUGUCAUGAUCGUGUGCAGGAUUGGACAAAACAAGAUGGCAGACGGCAGUUCCAAACAAAGAUCCAGUCAGGAGCGGACUUCCUUAAGCUUAAAAGUUGCAAGUGAAUGAAGUGUGUUCUAUUUUAUGCCUCCUACUAAAACCAUGGUUUUGACAAACCUAGAAGAGCACGUGGAGCAAGGAACUAUCAGUAAGCCGGAAGAGCCAGCUCGAAAAUCUUUAAGUGUUUGAGAAUUUCACCGCGCACAUGAAUCUAAAGUUCUGCCAGACGUUAGAAUGAGCCUUGUUCUCGAAGAUCAACAUGUUGAAAAGUCUUCAUUUUGCAGAAGCAAAUACAUUUAUAUUGUAUAUACACAUGUAGACCAUGUUCGAUUCCCAACCACUUAACAUUUGUGAUAUCUGCAUGGAAUUAUUAAAACUGAGCAUGGUUUGACGUAUAAUAAUCUCUUUAGGCACGAUGGUUUACAUUUCACAAAGCUGUUCAAUGACAAUAAAGACAAUAAGAUGUU